UUGGUUUAUUGAGUAUGCUUGAAGUCUCUCUUUUAUUUCUCUUGCAGGACUGAAAGUGGCAUGAGCUUUGGAUGGUUCAUCUUUAAUGCAGUCCACAUUGGCUUCAAAGGAAAAUCUUUCGCGUAUGUUCUUUUCAAAGGGAUUAGUCAUAACCAAAGGGAGGCAUCAC